rnacentral:lncRNA from 1 species
CUUGGUACUUUCGAUCAGCUUUCGAUUCACCCUGCGGCUACUGCUGCGGCUGCCUAUAACUAUUGUGAUUAAGACAAAUGAUCCAUGUUGCAUGGCAAUUAUUUGUUAUCUUUUUUUGGCGCGCGUACCCGCAAAUCUUGAACCGUGUUAAAAUGUUCGAACUCAUCACCGCCGUCUAGCCGUCUUUUUUUUUUUUUGAAUCUCCGUUGUGAUCUAGCCGUCUUUGCACAGCUAAUCUUGUCUGUAGUCUGGAUACGCGCGUAGCCAAGCAUAGAAUUGUGGGGACAAACGCACAGAGGGGAUUGUUGGUGUUGGUGUGUUUUGGCUGCUCAUCGUGGUCUUGGCGACGACGGUUAGGCCUUGUUUAGAUGCACAAAAAAACCCAAAACUUUAUAAAAUUUUCCAUCAGAUCGAAUCUUACGGUACAUGCAUAGAAUAUUAAAUAUAGAUAAAAAAGACAACUAAUUACACAGUUUACCUGACUCGAACAAGUGGAUGGUUGUAAAAAAAAUUAUGACCAUCAUUAGUUAUUACUCUCUCAAUCUAAAAAAAUACAAUUCUAACGUAUGGAGCCAAAGGAAAUAAUCUG